rnacentral:rRNA from 1 species
GUAAAGGGCAUGCAGGCGGUCGGGCAAGUAGGAUGUGAAAGCCCCGGGCUCAACCUGGGAACUGCAUUCUAAACUGUCCGACUAGAGUAUUGCAGGGGGAGACGGAAUUCCAGGUGUAGCGGUGGAAUGCGUAGAUAUCUGGAAGAACACCAAAGGCGAAGGCAGUCUCCUGGGCAAAUACUGACGCUCAUAUGCGAAAGCGUGGGUAGCAAACAGGAUUAGAUACCCUGGUAGUCCACGCCGUAAACGAUGUCAAUUAGGAGCUUGAGCAAAAGUUUGGGUUCCGAAGCAAACGCGAUAAAUUGACCGCCUGGGGAGUACGGCCGCAAGGUUAAAACUCAAAUGAAUUGACGGGGGCCCGCACAAGCGGUGGAGCAUGUGGUUUAAUUCGACGCAACGCGAAGAACCUUACCUGACCUUGACAUCGUAGGAGCCUCUCUGAAGGGAGAGGGUGCCUUCGGGAACCUACAGACAGGUGCUGCAUGGCUGUCGUCAGCUCGUGUCGUGAGAUGUUGGGUUAAGUCCCGCAACGAGCGCAACCCUUGUCCUUUGUUGCCAGCGGGUAAAGCCGGGAACUCAAAGGAGACUGCCAGUGACAAACUGGAGGAAGGCAGGGAUGACGUCAAGUCAUCAUGGCCCUUACGGUCAGGGCUACACACGUGCUACAAUGGGGCGUACAGAGGGAAACGAUACCGCGAGGUGGAGUAGAGCCCAGAAAGCGUCCCUAAGUUCGGGUUGGAGUCUGCAACUCGACUCCAUGAAGUCGGAAUCGCUA